GACAGAGGGUGCAAACGUUGUCCGGAAUUAUUGGGCGUAAAGAGCUCGUAGGCGGUCUGUUGCGUCCGCUGUGAAAACCCGUGGCUCAACCAUGUGGUCUGCAGUCGAUACGGGCAGGCUAGAAUUCGGUAGGGGAGACUGGAAUUCCUGGUGUAGCGGUGAAAUGCGCAGAUAUCAGGAGGAACACCGGUGGCGAAGGCGGGUCUCUGGGCCGAUAUUGACGCUGAGGAGCGAAAGCGUGGGGAGCGAACAGG
rnacentral:rRNA from 1 species